rnacentral:rRNA from 1 species
CACCUACGGGACGCAGCAGUGAGGGAUAUUGGUCAAUGGGGGAAACCCUGAACCAGCAACGCCGCGUGAGGGAAGACGGUUUUCGGAUUGUAAACCUCUGUCCUCUGUGAAGAUAAUGACGGUAGCAGAGGAGGAAGCUCCGGCUAAAUACGUGCCAGCAGCCGCGGUAAUACGUAUGGUGCACGCGUUAUCCGGAUUUACUGGGUGUAAAGGGAGCGCAGGCGGUGCGGCAAGUCUGAUGUGAAAGCCCUGGGCUCAACCCCGGGACU